CAAACCUAUAGAAAUGGGAAAACAUCAGUUAUCUGAUAAAGCAACAACAUAAUUUUGUUAAUAUGAAGUCAUUUAAUCAUUUAGAUUUCUGCACACUGCAGCUUCUUCCCUAAGUUCCCUAAACAGCUACUACAUUAAAUGCCUCAUAGGCGUAAAACAGAAAGAAGAAGCAGCAUCUAUGCACAGUUGAUAACCAUGGAGGAGGCCGAGGGGAACGAGGAGGAGGUCAUUUAUUUCUAAAAAAGUCUCAAAAGUAAAUAAAUUAUAAGUUGUGAUGGCAGCUAAAAUAUUUUUCACGUUUUUAUAGUUUGCUAAUUAAUGUUAAGAAAAUGUUACGUGCCCUUAAUUAAAGCUAGCUAGCUAGCUAAGCUAGCAGCAGACAAGCUAAAUUAGCAGUAGCAUGUGAUUUGUUGACAGUGUGAGACUUAUCCAUUUUUAUUUCAUCAAUUGGAAUUUAAAUGUAGCCUAUAAAUUAAUAUGACAAAUUUAAACUAGAGUAAUUGCAUUUCCUGAACAAAAAUGUCUGUGAUUGCUGCAUCUGCUGCUCGCUGGCUCAGCUUCUGAAACUAUCCCAGCAACAAGUGUUGGUGAUUCACGUCUGAAGAUACCGCCCACAUUCAGAGGUAACCGAGUGAUGCAUUCAAGAGAUAUGGUGAUAUGGUGGUGUUUUAUUAAUGGCCACACGGUGGAGCUAUUGGUGCUGUGCUUCGACAUGUUGUGGAAAAGCCAUGUAUCAAGUUUCAUCUUAUUAAACACAACAGAUUAUCAUGUUAUAGUGUUGUAGCGCCCCCUGCUGAAUCAAAUGUGACACACUUGUGCAUUGUGGCUGUAUGUACAAUAUUUCCAAAUUUGGUUGCAAUCCAAUUUAGCAUGGAAGAGUUAUGGCCUGUUAAGUGCAUGAGGUCACACCUUCAAAGGUUUGGGGACCCAUUACAGACAAACGGUAAGUCGUACCCAUAAACAAACUCAGAAGUUUCAUUCAGGGUCAUCUAAAUGUGGUAUGGACCAAGUUUGGUGAAGAUUGGAUGAAAUAUGUGCCGAAAGACACACACACCCCUCACACAGCUGAGACCGUUCACUCGGAAGCUCACUGCUCCGAUUAUAUUAGUCGGUUAGAUUCCAUAUUUAAAUGUCUUAACCAGCACAAAUUUGCCUACGUUCUGUCAUAAAAUGAAAUAUAAAGAGU